UCUAAAUUCUCAAUUUUCCUGUCGAUGGCCCAGCUUGACCUGCAGCUGACAGCUAGUAGUAACUGUAAGCCACAUGAGCGAACAAUCUAGGCCAUCCAGCCCAGAAGAACAUUAAGAUGACUGCAGCUCCAGCCAACAUCCGGCUACAGCAACCUACGAGAAGCCAAAUAAGAGCAGCGUAGCUCAGUCCUCCCAGAAUUUGGGACCCAGAAAAUAAAAGGGAAACUAAACAGGAUGCCCAGUUUUAUCUAGGAGAGAAAAAAGGGACUGAGCAAGCCAGCAUUAUAAGAUCUUUGUUUGGCAGUGGACAAAAAGAAAUUGUCAAAUUAUUCUUUCUAUUGACGUGAGCCAGAGGAAGAAUGACCAGACUUCAAAUACCAUGAGAGAGAAUGAAGUGUGUGUGUAUACGGUGAGAACAUCAUGUCUUUGGUCCAUGGCAACCGAUCAUUAUUGGUAAAAGCUUAUCUCUUAUAUUAUUCAAUCAUAUUUGCCUUUACCCUGUGUGCAUCUCACUUCACCCGAAGGCUUCCAUUCUAAUGCGUUGCACAUGUAACAUUAGAUUUGAGUAUAACUUUGGUGUGUAGUGAUAUUUGAAUCAUGUAUUAAAUUCAGUUAAUUGUGGUGCUGUGAGUUUAAAUCUGGCUUACAUGAUUUAUCUCUCACCAACAUAGUUCUUAAGGCCUAGGCAUGUAACACAUAUUACUUCAAUGAACAUUGGAAUCACUUGAUGUAAUUGAAAUAUUCGAAUGAUGGUUUGAUUGUCAUUGUUUCAAUUGCAGAAACUUACCCCUGUCGCAUCACAGUACGUCAGUAAAAUGUAAUAAUUUACAUAACAUACUAGGGAUU
rnacentral:lncRNA from 10 species